rnacentral:rRNA from 1 species
AUUGAACGCUGGCGGCAGGCCUAACACAUGCAAGUCGAACGAGUGGCGGACGGGUGAGUAAUGUCUGGGAAACUGCCCGAGGGAGGGGGGUAAAUACUGGAAACAGUAGCUAAUACAGCAUACCAUCGGAUGUGCCCAGAUGGGAUUAGCUUGUAGGUGAGGUAACGGCUCACCUAGGCGACGAUCCCUAGCUGGGCUGAGAGGAUGACCAGCCACACUGGAACUGAGACACGGUCCAGACUCCUACGGGAGGCAGCAGUGGGGAAUAUUGCACAAUGGGCGCAAGCCUGAUGCAGCCAUGCCGCGUGUAUGAAGAAGGCCUUCGGGUUGUAAAGUACUUUCAGCGGGGAGGCGUUACCCGCAGAAGAAGCACCGGCUAACUCCGUGCCAGCAGCCGCGGUAAUAC